UGCCCCGCAACUCCUAUCUCUACCUCUGCGUGGCACCGGCCGGGCACGAGCAACCUUAGAGAAGAUCGGAUAAUCAACCCUGGCGGGAACUUUGGCCGUAGGCUGACUGGGAAGG
rnacentral:ribozyme from 1 species